UACGAAGGGGGCUAGCGUUGCUCGGAAUCACUGGGCGUAAAGGGUGCGUAGGCGGGUCUUUAAGUCAGGGGUGAAAUCCUGGAGCUCAACUCCAGAACUGCCUUUGAUACUGGCAACCUAGAGACUGGAAGAGGUUAGUGGAAUUCCCAGUGUAGAGGUGAAAUUCGUAGAUAUUGGGAAGAACACCAGUGGCGAAGGCGGCUAACUGGUCCAGCACUGACGCUGAGGUGCGAAAGCGUGGGGAGCAAACAGG
rnacentral:rRNA from 1 species